rnacentral:lncRNA from 1 species
AUGCUCUACAUUUUCACUUUUCUUCUAAUAACUUUUUUCCCAUUUACAUUUAACAAACUUGUCAUUCUUCUAAGCCCCUUUUUCCUGCCUCCACCAAUAAAUGUAAAGAAGUUCUCCUCUGUCAAAGUCAGGAAAGCCUGGCUCAGUCUGUUGUGGAGAUUCUGCAAUUUGAUUUUGUUUCAUUACAAACACCUUCCUUGCCACCCCUGUAGGCUGGUCAACUAUCUCAUACCUAACAGUAGUUCUUCUGAGUCAUUCUCCUGCUCAGUAACAACUCAAAGUCACAGGAUCAUUUGGGCCCAUAUGACUGAUCUGAGUGAUGUGACUGGACCAAGAGAACACAGAAUAGUACUGUCUUGUGAAUUUACCCUUUAGUUAAUGGUUCUCUGGAAGUUUGUUCAUUUCUUCUCCAUUUGUGAGCCAGCAGACAGGGGAACAGAAUCUGGCUAUGUGUGUGACUUUAAAAGGUACCGCUGAAUUGCAAAGAAAGACAUCUUAUGAUUUGUCUUACUGAGAUGCAUUGGAAACCAGAUUGAAAGUAUAUUUUUGUUUUUCAGGGGCUGUAGCAUUGAGGCAGUACAGACUAGAGCCUGUUAGCCUAUCCUAGUUCCUGUGCGCAGAUGAGCUUGAAUAGUUCUUCCAUGUUGCAUCCAGUUAGUAAGGAGGGUAUACAAGCAUGCUGAAAUUGGAAGGAAAACAACCCUCAUUUGCUCAUCCUCCACAGACCAGUCAGUGCUCUGCUCUUCACCAGCCCUCUCCGAGGACUAUAGGAACGAGCAGGGUGCCCACAAUGUUCCCUGUGGUUUGUUGGCUGCCAGCUGGAGCUGCUGGCUUGGUGUCUGCAUUGUGCUUCUAUAGCUUAAGAAGAAGGCAUCAGUUGUUGCUCUCACCAGGAUGCCUGCUGCUCUGUUGGAUGUCCCUAGGGGCUCCUCAGCAGUGAUUUCAAGCUUGAUUUCCAGCUGCAUGGAUGUGCGCAAAGUAAUAGCAUGGCCCUACUCCUGCCGGGAAUUUCCCAGGUACAAAUGUUGCCAAGGCUUCUAGAAGGUGUGGAGUUUGCUGCAUGUGCUCUGGUCAGGUGUAAAGGAGAAAUCCAGUCCUCUUGAGAUUUAUUUCUCCUGAAAGCUCUAGAAACCAGGAACAAGUAUAUAAAUUGCUUGGAUUUCACUGGGGAAAACCUUCUGGGCUGAAGACUCAGUAAGGGUUGUGAAACACUGGAACAGGCUGCUCAGGGAGAUGAUUGCCUUAUACUUUGUGAUGUUCAAAUUAGACUUGGAAAGGGCUCUGAGCACCUGAUCUAGCUGUAGGUGUUCCUGUUCAUUGCAGGAGAGUUGGACUGAAUGACCCUUAAAGGUCCCUUCCAACUCAAAGAGUUCUGUGAAGAGAAGUUCAGAAG